rnacentral:rRNA from 1 species
AUUGAACGCUGGCGGCAUGCUUUACACAUGCAAGUCGAACGGUAACAGGGUGCUUGCACCGCUGACGAGUGGCGAACGGGUGAGUAAUGCGUCGGAACGUGCCGAGUAGUGGGGGAUAACGCAUCGAAAGGUGUGCUAAUACCGCAUACGUACUGAGGUAGAAAGUGGGGGACCUUCGGGCCUCACGCUAUUCGAGCGGCCGACGUCUGAUUAGCUAGUUGGUGAGGUAAAGGCUCACCAAGGCGACGAUCAGUAGCGGGUCUGAGAGGAUGAUCCGCCACACUGGGACUGAGACACGGCCCAGACUCCUACGGGAGGCAACAGUGGGGAAUGUUGGACAAUGGGCGCAAGCCUGAUCCAGCCAUGCCGCGUGUCUGAAGAAGGCCUUCGGGUUGUAAAGGACUUUUGUCCGGGAGCAAAUACCCAGUGCUAAUAACGCUGGGGGCUGAGAGUACCGGAAGAAUAAGCACCGGCCAACUACGUGCCAGCCGCCGCGGUAAUAC